UUUGGCUAAAAACAAUAAUUAUUUCAUCGGUAGGGGGCAUUCUUGUAUUUCCAGAACAGGAAAGAAAUACAGCUCUGUUACUGUUCAGCUGUGCUGAAUAGCAUGCACAGCAGCAGCAUUCAGCACAGAAAGACUUGAGAAUAUGAAUAGCAACUGUUAACUGAAGGUUAGAAUUACUUAACUCUGCAUAUUCUGAAAAUCAGGUGACAUCUUAAAAGUGAAAAGUUUCUGAGAAGACUUGUUUUCAAAUGAGAAAGAGAUGAACAAUUACUUCAGCAGCAUUAGCCUUGCCAUCAAGGUGGUUCUUGGCUUUGUCACCUGCAUUCUCAAAUGGCUUAGAAUUCUCACAAAGAAGAGUGUAUUUGCUAUUACUGCUGCAUCCAUAGCUAAGGGUGGUUGAUACACACCACGCCCAGCCCAAAGGUAAUGAUGCACAC
rnacentral:lncRNA from 1 species